UACAGAGAGUGCAAACGUUGUUCGGAAUUACUGGGCUUAAAGCGCACGUAGGCGGCGCCGCAAGUGUGGGGUGAAAGCCCACGGCUUACCCGUGGAAUUGCCUGGCAGACUGCGGUGCUAGAGGAUGGUAGGGGAGAACGGAACUCCUGGUGGAGCGGUGAAAUGCGUAGAUAUCAGGAGGAACACCGGUGGCGAAGGCGGUUCUCUGGUCCAUUUCUGACGCUGAGGUGCGAAAGCUAGGGGAGCAAACGGGAUUAGAAACCCCCGUAGUCC
rnacentral:rRNA from 1 species